UGGGGAAUUUUGGACAAUGGGCGAAAGCCUGAUCCAGCAAUGCCGCGUGUGUGAAGAAGGCCUUCGGGUUGUAAAGCACUUUUGUCCGGAAAGAAAUCCUUGGCUCUAAUACAGUCGGGGGAUGACGGUACCGGAAGAAUAAGCACCGGCUAACUACGUGCCAGCAGCCGCGGUAAUACGUAGGGUGCAAGCGUUAACCGGAAUUACUGGGCGUAAAGCGUGCGCAGGCGGUUUGCUAAGACCGAUGUGAAAUCCCCGGGCUCAACCUGGGAACUGCAUUGGUGACUGGCAGGCUAGAGUAUGGCAGAGGGGGGUAGAAUUCCACGUGUAGCAGUGAAAUGCGUAGAGAUGUGGAGGAAUACCGAUGGCGAAGGCAGCCCCCUGGGCAAUACUGACGCUCAUGCACGAAAAGCGUGGGGGAGCAAACAGGAUUAGAUACCCUGGUAGUCCACGCCCUAAAACGAUGUCAACUAGUUGUUGGGGAUUCAUUUCCUUAGUAACGUAGCUAACGCGUGAAGUUGACCGCCUGGGGAGUACGGUCGCAAGAUUAAAACUCAAAUGAAUUGACGGGGUCAUAGCUGUUUCCU
rnacentral:rRNA from 1 species